AUGUGGUCCAGUCCAAGUCCUUACUGCAGCAGCUUCGUCGCUUCUUCCCUCUCUCUCUCUCUCUCUCUCUCUCUCUCUCUAAACUGUUCUUCUUCGUCACCGAUGGAAGACUUCUGGUUGGGCUUUUCCGUCUGCAUGUGACCGAAUUAGGGAUGUGGUUGUGAGUAUCUUAAAUAUCUUAAUCUUCGAGUUGGGAAGAAAUGGUUUCAGAAUCUUGGUUUCGCAGUCUGUGGAAGCCUCCAAGGAAGCGUGAGUCUAGCACGCAGAAGGUCGUAAUUGGAGUAUUGGCAUUUGAAAUUGCUACCUUGAUGUCCAAGUUGGUUCACCUAUGGCAGUCCUUGAGCGAUAAGCAAGUCAGGAGGCUGAGAGAAGAGAUAAACAGUUCAUUGGGCAUAAAGAAGCUUGUGUCAGAUAACGACGAGCAUAUAGUUCGUUUGAUAUAUGCAGAGAUGACCGAGAGUUUAGCUCAUGUGGCUAAAUCUGUUGCCAGACUGGGAAAGAAAUGCAGUGAUCCUAGUUUAAAAAACUUCGAGCAUAUUUUUGAUGAUUUAAUUCAAAUUGGAGCCGAUCCCUAUGGUUGGAUAUACUCAUGGAAGAAGAUGGAAAAUAAGGUGAAGAAGAUGGAGACAUUUAUUUCUGUCAAUGCAAAUUUGUAUCAAGAGAUGGAGAUGCUUGCAGAUCUUGAGCAAACGUUGAGGAGAAUGAAGGUUAAUGAGGAAUCGGAUGUAAUCAAUCUAGUCGAGUUUCAAAAGAAGGUUGCAUGGAAACAGCAGGAGGUGAAAAAUUUGCGAGAGAUGUCACUUUGGAAAAGGACCUAUGAUUACUCAAUUCUUCUGCUAGCUAGAUCCCUAGCCACAAUAUUCAGUAGGAUCAAACAUGUAUUUGGAAUUGAGCAGAGUGAAGAUAAUGGUGAAAUGAAUGAUUCACGAGAUAUGAAUUCUGACUAUAUUGCACGUAGUCAAUCAGUUUCUUCAUUAAUGCAAUCCAUGGUUCAUCCUUCAGAGCACAACGGUCUUACUAAAUUUGCUUCGGGUCCCCUGAAGAGGUUUACAACUAAAUCAGGGCCAAUUUCAAAAACUGCUAAAGCCAAUAAUUUCUAUUCAGGUCCUCUUGGUAGCUCUAUUACAAAAUCAGGUCCUAUUUCAGGUCCUGUUUCUGGAACCAACAGAAACUUCAACUCUUAUUCAGGUCCUCUCACAAGUUCAACGAUGAGAUCAGGUCCAAUUUCUGGAGUACACAACAAAACCAAUCAGAAGAAUUGGCUUGUCGGUGGCUACUCUUCCAUAUUUAAUGGGAAGAAAUCUCAUCAGAAACCAAACAGACUAACUCAAGUUGGACCUUUUAAAGGAUGCAUGAUAUCUGGCACUAGUUCUCCAGUAGCGAAUUGCCACAUCAGUUCAAAUGGGAUUCAUACAGAGCUUCUCAAUGGAACCAAAGAUGCUGGAAAGAUUGUUGAUCCUUGCAACAAAACCAUUCCUUGCAAACAGUUGCUCGGUGCCAAGCGCCGAUUAUUGGAUGCCCCACCCGAGACUCUAGGUGCUGCUGCUUUGGCACUGCACUAUGCAAAUGUCAUUAUUGUAAUUGAGAAGCUUGCUGCAUCUCCUCAUUUGAUUGGCCUGGAUGCUAGAGAUGAUCUCUACAAUAUGCUGCCCGCCAAAGUUCGAGCUAGCCUUAGGGCAUCCCUAAAGCCAUAUGCCAAGAGCUUGUCUUCAUCUGCUUAUGACACAGGUCUUGCAGGAGAGUGGAGUGAGGCAAUAACUGGGAUACUAGAAUGGCUUGCUCCACUGGCUCACAACAUGGUUAGAUGGCAAUCUGAACGUAGUUUUGAACAACAGAAUUUUGUUUCCAGGACUAAUAUGCUUCUUGUACAAACCCUUUUCUUUGCAAAUCAAGAAAAGACUGAAGCAAUCAUCACCGAACUUCUUGUUGGCCUGAAUUACCUAUGGAGGUUUGGUAGGGAACUCAAUGCAAAAGCUCUCAAUGAGUGUGCCAGCAGUAGAAUACAUGAUGAAUAUUUGGAUAUCGUUGGGUAACAUUCUUUUCCAUAUUAUUGGUAUUGCCAACUCUGAAUUGCAGCGCAAUCGUUCAACAACAUGAGGCCUCCUCAGUUCUAUACGACGGAUCUCGACCACUGCAAGCGGCACAAGAGAGGGAGAGAGAGCCCUGGCUACACAGUUGACGCCAAUCGUCAUUAUUGAUGAGCUAGGUUGGCCAGAAAUGAGCUCUGGUUCUUGCCGCGGCCACCCUUCAUGGAUUUCACUAUAUGUUUGGCUGCCAUUGAAUUGACUUCUUGGUAUAUUUCAAUUUAUUGGAUCCUUCUGCCACUGCUCGCUUUAAUUCUCAUCCUUAUCCACAUGUAUUCUUUGAGUUUUCUUUGGGAGCGGAGGUUUUCAGCGCCUUAAUCAGUCGAGUUAAGUUUAAGUUAGCAUCUUCAAUGUGGAAGGUAUGGGUGGUUUGACUUGGUCGACUUUUCUUUUUUCUUUUUCCUUCUCUCUCCCUCUCCAUUUGACUGAUAAUUUUCUCCUAGCUAGAAGCUUAUUUUAGGAUCAGUCCUUUUUUUUUACCUCUUUUUUGAAUAACACCACCACAAUCUGAAUGCUGGGCUCUGUGGUCCUUUUCACCCAUGGAAAAUAGGCCAUCACAAGUCUCAAUCUUGAGACUUGCCUUCCACUUGUGGUGUGAGUGGUGAAAUGAAUCAGCACCCUUUAAGAUGGAACAAUAGAAGGAAAGAUAUGGAUCUUGGGAUUUUUCAUCAUUGCACCACCACAAUUAUCCACCAUUUGGAAGACAAUAAAAGUAUUAGAACCUCCUCUUUGAA